rnacentral:rRNA from 1 species
GGUAGGACUACCCGCUGAACU